UUUUUUAAUUGGGGUAGCCCCCAAAAUAUUGGGACAUAUAAAAAAAAAAAAAAAGAAUAGGUGCACAACAAUGGCUGGGUGAGGCCGGUAUAAAUGUCUAUUCUGCACAAGGUACAGACAAGUCUGGUGGGAUCCACGCCUGGUUCAUUUUAAUAAACAUGAGCUUGUCCACGUUGGACAGGCGGCUGUGCUUGUCUGUGAUAACUUCAUGCCGAUCGCAGGUCCCCAUGACGGCAACGACACAUUCGGAUGUCUGCCCUAACAACUUUCCAUGCAAUUUUCCGCGCCUACCAUGGUGACCAUGGGUAACGGGGAAUCAGGGUUCAAUUCCAGCGAAGGAGCCUGAGAAACGGCUACCACAUGCAAGGAAGACAGCAGGCGCGCAAAUUACCCACUCCCGACACGGGGACGUAGUGACGACAAAUACACUACUCUUUCGAGGCCCUGCAAUUGUAAUGAGUCCACUUUAAAUCCUUUAACUUGGAUCAAUUGGAGGGAAAGCCUGGUGCAGAGCAACUUACCCGUGCAUGCUGCAGCUGAAACUCCACUA